UACGUAGGUGGCAAGCGUUGUUCGGAAUUAUUGGGCGUAAAGGGCGCGUAGGCGGUUUGUUAAGUCGGCUGUGAAAGCCCGGGGCUCAACCCCGGAGGGUCAGCCGAUACUGGCAGACUAGAGUACGGAAGAGGUAGCUGGAAUUCCCGGUGUAGCGGUGAAAUGCGUAGAUAUCGGGAGGAAUACCAGAGGCGAAGGCGGCUACCUGGACAAUUGCUGACGCUCAGGCACGAAAGCGUGGGGAGCAAAAGGG
rnacentral:rRNA from 1 species